GUGAGGUGCGAUUUUAGAAUGUAUGAUUGACAUCAAGAAAUUCCCAAAAUUCAAUGAUCAUUGGAUAGAUUAAUAAACAGACAGCUAUAUAAUAAUCAAGAAAAAAGAAUUAAAUAUCGCAAGCAAACCCAUCGGACAUGUAUUGUAGUGAAAAAAACAAAAAUUAAUGCGAUUAAUGAUAAAUUGAUAAAACAUAGAUAGACAAUUCCUGAAGAUACACUAAUUAUCAUUUUGAAAACAUCGCGAUGAUAUUGAAGACGUUGCAAUGGACAAGUAGUAAUGUGCAGAGAGGAGCUGGCUGUAUUCAAAAGUUUUCAGAAAAUUAAGAUAGAAUAAUGAAAGAAUUGAGAUUCUUAUCAUGAUCAUCUGAAAUGUUCUGAAGCAAUGGAAAGUGGACGUUCUACAAACUAGCUAACUAAGAUCAUUAGUUAUUGAAGGUUUACAUGAAAUAGCUUCCGUGCAUUGUCACACUGUUGGUGUUGAUGCGGGUACCACCAGAGAAGAGCAGAGUGGAGCCAAGAACAACGGUGAAACGAUUAGCCUGGGACUGAUUUGUGCGCCAGCAGUGAGCGGCGGUAACAAUCCUGUUGUUGCUGAUCAGGGAGGAGCCGCAGACGGAUUGUGCACCAUUAGUGACCUGCCAUUGAUACCCAAGCAGAAAAACGGAGCGAACAAGAAGUGGACAGCAUCAAUAUUUUGUUAGAAAUUUAAUUUAAAGCGCAAGUUCGAUUUUAUUUU